UAGGGAAUCUUCGGCAAUGGACGAAAGUCUGACCGAGCAACGCCGCGUGAGUGAAGAAGGUUUUCGGAUCGUAAAACUCUGUUGUUAGAGAAGAACAAGGACGUUAGUAACUGAACGUCCCCUGACGGUAUCUAACCAGAAAGCCACGGCUAACUACGUGCCAGCAGCCGCGGUAAUACGUAGGUGGCAAGCGUUGUCCGGAUUUAUUGGGCGUAAAGCGAGCGCAGGCGGUUUCUUAAGUCUGAUGUGAAAGCCCCCGGCUCAACCGGGGAGGGUAAUUGGAAACUAGGAGACUUGAGUGCAGAAGAGGGGAGUGGAAUUCCAUGUGUAGCGGUGAAAUGCGUAGAUAUAUGGAGGAACACCAGUGGCGAAGGCGGCUCUCUGGUCUGUAACUGAAGCUGAGGCUCGAAAGCGUGGGGAGCAAACAGG
rnacentral:rRNA from 1 species